rnacentral:SRP_RNA from 1 species
GCCAGGCGUGGUGGUGCAUGCCUUUAGUCCCAGCUACUUGGGAGGCUGAGGCAGGAGGAUCCCUUGAGCCCGGGAGGCAGAGGCUGCAGUGAGCUGAGAUCAUACCACUGCACUCCAGCCUGGGCGACACAGGGAGACCCUGUCUCAG